UGAUCCUGGCUCAGAGCGAAACGUUAGCGGCAGGCUUAACACAUGCAAGUCGAGCGAGAAAGGGGCUUCGGCUCCGAGUAAAGCGGCGGACGGGUGCGUAACACGUGGAUAAUCUGCCUCGUGGCGGGGGACAACAGUCCGAAAGGACUGCUAAUACCGCAUGUCAGGUCGGAAACUCCGGUUUCUGACGAAAAAGAGGGCGCCCGCAAGGGGCUCUCACCACGAGAUGAGUCCGCGUCCCAUCAGCUAGUUGGCGGUGUAAUAGACCACCUAAGGCUUAGACGGGUAGCUGGUCUGAGAGGAUGACCAGCCACACUGGGACUGAGACACGGCCCAGACUCCUACGGGAGGCAGCAGUGGGGAAUAUUGGACAAUGGGCGAAAGCCUGAUCCAGCCAUGCCGCGUGAGUGAUGAAGGCC
rnacentral:rRNA from 1 species